UGCCUCCUAUUAUGGGUUGGAAUGCCUUUUUCUACCUAUUGCCUGGCAAGUUUUUCAAGACAUGGAUGUAUCUGUGAGACAGAAAGUGAAUUCCAGCGCUCCUCGCAAUGAGGAGUUUCCAUUCAAACUCAAAGUCCCAAGUGAUUUUUUAAAGAGUUGGUAACAAUAUUCAACUGAUCAGGAAGAAUACAUAUAAUUGGUCUCUCUUCUAUUGCUAGCUUUUCUUUUCUAACCUAUCGAAAAGAAGUCAAUAGUAAAGCAGCAAGAAAUCUUCUGGAAGACUUGAUUUAGGUUCAGCAAUUAAUAUUUCAGUUCCCUCCAGCUUUCCAAACAGGGUGCAGCCUUUGAUGUGAUACUAAGCAGCUACAGAAGACUAUGGUGGGUAAUACUUUUGUUGCCAUAAAGUAAAGCCUAGCUGUAAAUCAUAUUUGAACUAGUUAAAGCUAGAGGUAGCACAGGUGUGCUGCAGAGCUACAGCAUCAUUUGCUUCAGGUGUGGGGAGGGUAAGGAAUUAACAAAAGAGGCUCUGUCUGUUACAGUAACUUCAACACAUCUUCUCUUCUUUCUUCUGGGAUCUCUCUGCUGUCCUGACUCAGGUAAGGAAGCCUGAGUAAAAGCAACAUGACUGUAUUUAGAGUACUUGCUUAAGAAAACCAAAUGUGGAUCUUGUGUGUUCUCUUCUGCAAUCAAAUUCCUACUAGGUAAUUCAGUCUCAGUGUGAAGAAUAGAGUAUCUACUGUAUGCAGUACACUGCACUUAAAAAAAAACAAAACCAACCAAACAUAACCAAUAAAUCCUGGGGAGUAAAGAGUCCAAAGUCACACCUAGGGGAUACAAAUAGAAGAGAGUCAUUUGUAUAACUUGAGUUUCCUGCUUAUUACGCAAAAUAUAGAUCUUAUUUUCAGCUUCCACUUCCUAUUGUACAUUCACGCAGGGUUUUCUUCUUCCCUGGCAAAAGAGGUUGUUUUCCAAAGACAGAAGUAGCAAAGCAGGUGGCCAUGGCUGCAGAAAUAAGAACAGGGAGCAAAGAAGAAUGCUUCUAGACUUAAAAGCCUGAUUUUUUUGUAUUUUAAAGCGCACAUCCAACUGGAACUGGAAAUAGAGUGGUUGUUAGCUCAAAUACCUGUAAUAAUACCUGAGACUUUGAGUCCGUCAUAGAGAGUGGGCUGUGAAAGCCCCACUUCAUGUGCCGAGGCAGUAUUGUCAGAAGGGCUCUAGAGCUGGCUGUGUGGGAGGACAGAGGAGGCUGAUGCUGCCAAGAUCCCCAAAUGCAUACUGUCUUCUGACUAACAGAGAUCCAGCUUCCUGGAAUCUCUUACAAGGACCAAUGUGAGAACUGACAUUUAACUACUUUACUUGAAAAGCAGUUUGAAAGGAGCUGACUAGCACUUUGAGCAGCCACAAAAUACGAUCACCCUGAGGCAGAAAGCACAAGUUCCUCCAACACAUUAAAUCUGCAGAAGGAUAAGGGCGUGUUUACAUGAAGAUAAGCAAAAUGUUAGUGUUUACAUGAAGAACAGUGAGAAAAAUGAAGAUGAGGAAAUCAGUCAAAUAAUAACCACUAUUAUUACAGGAUACCUUCAUGUACUGCAGGCAACCUGUGCACAGCGCUACUCUGACUGUCACUAACUAUACUCAAGUAAGAGGAGAUAAUACUGUGGUUGUUUAGGCUGCAAUUGAGAAGCAAGAAGUCCCGACUGCAGUGCCGAGCACAUUAGGCACUUUAUGGAUCAGAAAUAUGCUCUGCAUUAGAAUAACUGAUAAUAUUCCACAAAAUGAAAGGAGCUGGAAAUGUUCUGGAGCAUAUGGCAAUUUCUGCUAUUCUGUGUCUCUGUUGUAUUUGCUCUAGGACCAUACUGGUUGUGAGCAGCCUCUUACAAGGUGUUUUGUUCUCUCUUUUAAAUCUUUUAAUCAUGGUUGCUCUCAGAUAUGACACUUCAUUUAGUACGUCAAUGACCUGACCUUCCACGGCAACCCCUGUAUUCUGAUACUACGAGAAUGGUGAAUUUUUUUAUCUUAUAAUCAUCCUCCAAAUAGAUCUGUUAUUUAGCCUAGAUAAAUCAAUCUUCUUCAAGUAUCAGGCUAGUGUGUAUUCCUCUAAUUCUGUGAAAGACUGAUGGAAAACAAGUUUGUCUGAUACAAAACGUAUUUUCUGUAGAAAUGCCAACAUCCUUCCUUUCAUACAUUUCUGUUCUUGACAGUGUUCCUUGGGAUUUUGUUGUUAUUAAUAUAUGAAUAUCGCUUUCAUAUUAAGCUGCCUCAUAAGCAGUAUCUAUCCCAGUGCUGCAGAUCUGCUUCUGUUUCAUGGGUGUUUGAAUGUUAUUUUCCACAGUAUACUCUCUAAAUUUUUUCUUGGCUCCACGAAUUUUCCUUUCUGAGUGAGUGAUCCACAUCUUACUGUAGCAAACCAAACCAGCUCAUGUUCUUUCAUUCCCAGUUAGUUCCCCUCUUGUUUACAAAGAUUGGAUCUGGAAGUCCCAGAGUCAAAAACAUGAACUACUUAUUGAAAAGAGGGCUGAUUUUCUAAUCUGGUAUAUGUAGUUAUUUGUGCUUAAAUAAGAUCGGGUUUAGUUCCAGAAAGUGGCUGCCAUAGAGGUUUCUGGAAGGAAUUCCCUUCUUGAAAGACAUGUGGAAUAUUGCACGUGAGCAAAUAUCUCGCUGGGACGCAGGCUCCUUCUCAUGUGUAAAUAUUGGUUCACGCCAGAAUUGCCACUCUAGGUUCAAAGAAAUAAGUUUUAUUAUUAUAACAUGGUAAUUUCCAGUUACUGGUUGCUGUCUUUUCUUGACUGAAGUCAGCAUUGAUCUGGUAGCAUGCCUACUGUCAGUACAGAAAAAUACCAUACGAGUCUUUUACCCCCUUAUUCUAGGUUUCUCAAUUAUACCACUCAGUGACACAAAGCCACAGUUACCUGGCUGUGUCUCAAAUGCAUUAAAUCCCAUGUAACCAGCCCCACAACAAAACCUCAAAUACUUGGCUCUGAUGGAUGGUGUUAUAAUGAGGGUGGAGCUCAGUUCAGUAGCCAAUUUAAUGCAUCUUAAUGUUCUAACAUGCUUUCGUUUCAUAUCUAGGACAAUAAAUGCUGCAGUAAAGUUUUGUUUAAAGCACGUCUGUUUUGCAAAAUGAAUCUUGCAUAUGGAACAAAACACUCAUUGUCGCUUUACUGUUUAAACCUUUAUUAUCACGGGUUUUUUUCCCUGGUACAAUGGGCUUUUAUGCACCAAACAGCUGUGUUCAUCAUGUUUAUUUAGAAGGCGUCCAUUGUAGUGGAAAAAGUCUGGAGGACAAAAAUCUUGGUGAAGUGCAAGACUACUCUGUGGGUGCUGGCACCUUCUUUUUUUUUUUUCUGUCCAGUUCCUUUGGUCAGCAUGCAAGUCACAUACACAGGCACUGCCAUGCAGACUUGCAAACCCUGUAUAAUAGCAACUUUUCACAAGUGCUGUCUCUUAUUCCAAGCGCUCUCCUCCAGAAAGUUUCAAUUGCAAGGCAACAUACAGGACGUGUGACCACUUUACACCCUAUGAUCCCAUCAUUUCUCAAUCUGUUGCUAUUUUGGCCCCUCAUUAGGUCACUUUCCAAAUAUUGUGUGCAGCUAUGUGUCAAUCAUUGUCACAGCUCUGCUCUAGGCUAAGCCAACCCAGGACAAAACUGGGAGGGGGAAAAAAAAAGCCAACCAAACCAAGCACUGUGUAGAAAACAGUCAACGGUUUAACUGUGGAAAGCUAUGUGUUGUUCCAAAGAUAGCAUAAGCCCGCUUGAUGCAAAAACAGCUUACAGUACUAAUGGUCCCCAAAAUAAUUUUAUGCAGCUGAAAUACGUAGUGUAUAGCCAAUGGCAUCUGCAAAUAAACAGAUGUUAGAAUCCCAAGAAUUAAGAGCAUGACAUUGUAGGAAACUCUUGGUUCACUCCUGCCAAAAAAGCAGUUGAGUUUCCAGUUUCUGGAAAGAACGGAGCACCCAACAUACUGACAGAACUUUUUUUGAGCAACAGUAUCUCUAAUACCUUCUCAACCCUUGAAUGAAAGCUGCUGUACAAGCAGGCAGUGUUAGCCUGGGGAACUGAAGGGUUCCCUACCUUCUUUGGGGUACAUCCCUCAGGACAAAUGCAUUCCCACGCCAUCUGAGAUAGCUGUGCCCCCUUCCCUCUUUUCAGGUUACCCUGUGUUAACACAUAGUUUCAGGUAAAGACUGGAAACACUAAGUGUCUCUCUCAGCCACAUAGUCAAUGCCAUUGUUAUAACAGGCUGGAAAAUGAACUGGAACAAACUAACAUGCUUGGUCUUUUAAAAAUACUAAAAUAUCUGUGUAGAAUGAAAUGGCUCCUUAUUUCUGGAACAGUGGAUGCUCUAGGUUUUCUAGAGUGAGCAUUCUCACUUCUUGUCAUUCAUGUGUCUUGGGAAACUGUAAUGAGGUUAAAAAGACCAGAAUGAAGUUGCAUCCGUACAGUUCACGGAUGCUGGGAAUCCAUGCAGAAACACAGCGAAGGUGACUGCUGGGAUCUGAAAGCAGCGUGGCCGGGGUGGGGGGGGGAGGCUGCGAAGGGGCUGACUGCGUGGAGCUGGGGCUGCAGCAGGGGCCUGGGGAAGGCCUGGCAUACUGGGGAAAUGGUUUUCCAGAAGAAAGGACAGAAGCCUGGGGGGGGCGGGGGGGGGGAAGGGAAUGGAUGGAGAGAAACGUAAGCCAAGUGGAAAGGGAGAGAGUGUGACAAAAGGAUUAGCCCCUGCUUGCAGACAGUGUGUAGCAGAAGCAGAAAAUGAACUCGGGGGGGACGGACAGAAGACCGGGGGGCGGGGGGGGGGAACGACACGGACACAGACACAACGGACUUUAAGGAGAAGAAAACUGUUUCUCAGGGACCUUUUCAAAGACUUCCUGAAUGCAACCUCCAUUUACUUCUUUCUUCCUUUUUCUCCCAAGAAGAAAAAAAGGAUCCGCUGUGAGCAGAAUGUAUGGCUGACUAACAAACACAGACCUGAACAGAGUCCCAGUCUGGAGGGAGACCAUUGCAGGCCGAACUCCUGGAGCCUUCUCGCUACCUGGGCACCACGAAGCUUGUAAGCCAAGCAGGAAGGGGCAAAAUCUACAAUUUGUAAUCAACAGUUCUGAGUUCCCUUGGCAUUUGUUUGCCCGUUGUGAACUAGUUUCAGAAGAGAAUUGGUUGUGAUUAAGACUGCUGCUGGAAUCUCCAUGUAAAUGCAGGUCCCAGUGAAAGGAGGGAAGGGGCCCGGGGUGAUUCAGGUAAUACUGCUUUUCUAUUUUUACUUUUAUUUUUAAAAAGACUCACUGUGGUAUGUCAAGCUGGAAAAACCCAGAAGUUUAGGAGUUGCUUCAUGAGCACCAAAGUCUUAACUACCAUAAAAACGCAAUUCCUUUGAGAAGGGAGGAGCCCCUGUCACACAGAUGUGACUGUAACCUCAUGGUUUUGUCUUCGUGCUACUACUAGUAAGCCACCAUACCUCUAGACAAGUAAGCAAGACCGCUCCUCAGUUUUUGGUUACUUAAUAUUUCCAUGGAACUCUGCUAGCUGUUGUAAAGAGCUUACUUUUGUGUAGGAAGUAUAAAUGUUCUUUCAGCUAAUUUUUUGUCUUCCUUCAAUGCACUGAGAUGCUGAGUCCAAGAUAAUCCGGAACUUGAUUCAUAUCAUCAUCGGAUUAGCUGUUGAAAUCGUCCAAUCAAGUCAGAAGGAUACUGGCCACUUCCCAUAGAAGAAAUUCUGCUGUAAAUCAAAUGUCCUUCAACUGAAAAUGCAAAGAGGAAAUACUCCGCAGAACUACUGACCCGAUCUGAAAACUCUCUGUGAUACUGCUGAGUGUCAGGCUGCCCAAGUUGCUUCUCUCUCCAUUUCCUGGAGACAGCGUGAACAGAAAAGAUAAGUAUCUGUGUUUAUGUCAUAUUAAGCUCCACCCAGAAACUUUGUGGGGCUGGGAAGUAAUACAUCAUGAUGAAGCAGAGUUCAAAAUGGCAUUGCAAACUGUCACAGUUGACACACAAGAGAUAAAUGACUGAUCUAGAACCUCUUGAAAUGGGUCUCCCAGUCACCUGAUUGAAUUGCAUUCAGGAGUACUUAAAAUUGCUAGCAAAUACUUAUCUGUUUUCCCAUAUUGGAAGCUUAAGCUCUGCAGGUGUAUGUGGGGUGUGCAUGCCAGGGCCAGCUUGGUCUGUUUCUGUGAGCUCCUUUCCUGUUCUUUAACUCUAUUACUAAGAAUUAGAUGUUAAUUGCAGUUCAGAAUUCAGUUUUGCACAAGAUACAACCCAAAGCAGAAGAUCUACACAAACUGUAGAAAAUCUGAACUGCAAAGGGCCGAACUAGUGACUUCUAUGACUGUGUGCUGCAAGGUGUCAGCCCACCAAAGUAAGCCAGGUUAUGUCCACCAAGCAGCAAAACACAAAGCUAUCCAAUUGUAACACUUAUAAAGGAGUUUAAUGACAAGUUUCUGUUAAUACAAAAUGGAAACUAAAGCGCAUUUGUUACUCCUUGAUGAAACUGUUCGUUUCAAGACUAUAUUCCGCUGUGUGUGAAGGGUAAUGGUUUAGAUACAAAUGCACACUCAACACUCCAUAACUUGUAUAGCCUGGAGCGUAGAAUUAGCUCUUACCUUAAUCUGAAUGAAUUUAGGAACAGUGUAAGGUGUUUGGAUCGACAGCCCCACAGAUCAAAGCUCACAGCAUGAUUGUUUUGGGAAAAAUACGAAAUACGUGCAAGAAAAUUGUUUCAGCAAAACUCCAGUGUAGUAAAGACCUAUUCAUGUCUAAGGUAGAUGCUGUUUGAUAACACAGUCUGUACAGUCUGUCACAAAUUCUGGUUCAGUUUAUGAAAUGGCUGUAUUGUUGCAUUCUUCAGCGUACAUCAAGCCAUAGGUGCUAUCACCUGUAUUUCCAGACUAGGGGCCAUGCAGAGUCAUUAGACAUUGCUGUCUCCCAUCGCAACACGAAUGCACUGGGAAAAUGAAGCUGGACUGGAGAAAUCAGUCCUGCUAAGCUUGAGUCCAAGCAAUGGAUUUUAAGCAGUAGAAUUUUCUCAGGACUGUAACAUAGAUUGAGGGUAAUGCUACCUCUUAGAUACCAGCAGGCCUGGUAUGAUAUGCUAGGGGGUACAAAGAACCUGGAAAGGAACAAGCAGGGGAGACAAAUACAAGUACAUAAUCUUGUCUUGCAAGGAUCUGGUUUAACUGAAGGCUCAGUUACGAAGAAGGAAAACAGGUACAUAGAAGAAUUGCAAACGGCAUGAUUUGGAAACCACAUGCGACAGAAGUAUGUAUAAAACCUAAGGAAUACUCAGGAGUAGUAACAAAACUGAGGAAGGAAAAUGAAUGCCUUUUGUUGGCUAAAACAGAGUGAAAGCAUUUGGCAAACUGUCUUUUCAAAAUCUCCAUCAACUAACAGGACCAUAAAGAAGUGAACUACAACCCAGAAUGACUGUGAGAGAACUCCCUUUCUCGUAAGGGAGAGCCGGCAAACAAUGCCUGUCGGUUCCGCAGGGCUCAAAGUCAACAUAGGCUGUGUGUACGUGCAUCUUCAGAGGGUCAGAACCUGAUCAGGUUCAUGCAGGAAGCCUAUGGGGUAACCCGGACCACUCGGGGUCUAGCCCAGUCUCCCUAGACUUCGGGAGUCCUCCCAAAAAUGUACCAUGGCCUGGCUGCUACUCUAGGGUUUCUAGGUUGCCUGAAAGACAGUGUUAAAAUACUUGCAGAGACCUUUUUUUUUUUGUAGUUUCUGCUUGCUUUUAGCAUGUGAAUUCUCACGUAUUUUAUCUGUGAGUUUUCACCAGUGGAAUAUUUUAGUGAUGGAAAUGAAAUGCUGAAAAAUGGAUAUGGAAGAAGGAAGAAGACAGCACCUGUGAAAUCAGGGGUGUGGUGGUUGUACUGAAUUAACUUACUAGUUUCCAUCACUUGGUGCUGGUUUGUGUGCUGUUAUGGCACAAAUCCACUUGGCAAAGUCUGAGGUUGGAACUGAAGUUUGGAAGGGGCACUAGGAAAAUGCAGUGCUUGCAGGAAAUGCUGCUGUGAUUUUGUGGGUUCUCCCACAUAGGCUUCUCUGGUUUAGGUCCAGAGUCAACACCGGCAGAGUGUCAGAAGGCAGUACAACCAUGCUCGAGACGAUAUGCAAACUCUCACCUAUCCCGGCACCAAGGAUUCUAGGCCUCAUUUGCUGCUGCCUUAUCCCGGCUGCGACGUCACUGUCUGUAGCCAUUUGGUUCGAGAUCCUAUUACAGAAUGACAGUUGUUAGUAUGAGUAAAAGUGAACUUCUGUCCAAAGUGCAAGGUACACGAGGUUUAGGGGUUCUACUCUGGCCAAGUACCAGUUUAAAUACUAAAACCUUGAAGACUAGAAAAAAAUGAGAUAUUAAAACUUGCUGGUAGGUUUCCUGUAAAUUUAGCUGGAGAAAAUAAUAUCCUUGUUUUCCUCUCU